GUUUGAUCCAGGAGCUGAAGCUGUAUCACGCCUGCUUUCGUGCAUAUUUCAGGAUGUCAGUGGGGCAGUUUGACCUUUUAUUGGCAGAGCUGGGACCACAUCUGAGGAGGCAGAGAAAUCAUUUCAGAUUGACCCGGAGCAGCAUCUAGCUACGUGUCUGAGUUGAAGUCCUGACUACACAUGAAGGAGAGGGAAGAGAGAAGCAGAGCUGGUGAUACAGUAAUUCUCACCUGCCAUUGGAGGAAGAGCACAGAUGUCCCACCAAAAUAAGCCAAGCCCUGACCCGUGACCAACCACUCUACUAGCCAAAAACAUGGCCUGAUAAUGACCAGCCAGCCAAUGAGAAAGUUGCACUGGGGUCAGGUCCUUAACCUCUCCCCCGAAACAGCAGCAGCAUCUUCAUUGUGUUAAACACAGAUAAUUUUUUUUCCUCUCAAAUAUGUAUAUACUCAUCACACCUGGUUACAACGCAUUAGUGAUCAUAACAUCAUAACAAAAAUAUCAAACGAAGAAAAGAAACAAAACAUUAAAGUUGUUACAUCUGGGGUUGCAUGCCAUCACCUCAUAAGUUAUCAUUAAAUGUAAUUAAAAUACAUUUUUGCCAUUAAAAAAUAGCAGGGUUGUCAUCACAAGGGUGUGUCUGAGAGUGUGUGUGUGUGUGUUUGUGUGUGUUUCUUUGUGUAUGUUUGAACAGAAAACAUCAUCAGUUUACAUGACAGUUCUGUAAAAGUAGAACAAACGAACAAAUUGCGAUGAGUUCAUAAAACGCAAGGGUGCCAUUUGAUAUUUUUCCUUUUUUUUACAUGUGCAUAUUGUUCACUUGUCAGCUCACACAAGCAGCAUGUGGAGAUAAAUAUGAUAGUAAUAAAUAUGUAGAUAAGAUGCAAAAAAAAAAAAAAAAGAGAGAGAGAAAAGGACAAAUCUUGCUCUUCAGUCAACACUGGGUAAGCUGAUUGGGAAGCUAGGGGGAGAUUCACUGCGGUAUUCCAAGAGUACAAAAAGGGCGAUAUGACAGUGGUUAAAAAUGGAGCUUCAAUCGAAACACAGUGGCUAAUGCAGUCAACUGCCAUUCGAAGUCAUGGAGAGGAGGAACUAUAAGGGUAGCGUUUCAGAUUUUGGAUGUUUAAGAAACAUCCUUCGUUCUGUGAAGGGUGCUCAGCUUAGUGUGAAGUGGAGCUGCAUACAGCACAUCCCACACACUGGGAAAACAAUCUAAGCCCCCCUCUCACCCCAACCCUACCGCUGUCCCUUC
ensembl:lncRNA